UCGGCUGCGGGACACGGGCCUGGAACUUGCUGGCACUGCUGUAGCUCUUCUGGGAGGCAGAGACGUGGCGUCAAGACCUCUUUUUUUUUCCCGUCGAUUUUUGGACAUAUGUUUUCAUGAUUGUGCCAUGAGCAAACCAGUGCUGAAGAUCUCCCAGGAGGGCCUCAUAUUCCAAUCUGAGCUAUUCAUGCUCUAACAUCACUGAUUUAAUGACGUGCAUUGUGUAGAAAACUACCUUUAGAAAAAAAAAACAAAACUUGGAGUAACUUUUUUUUUUUCCCCUUUAUUUUGAAAGGAAGCUGUUACCAGACAGGCAAUACAGUUCCAAAUCCAUUAGAAGGUACCUUUGGGAUCAGCAUUCAGUUUUUUUUCUAGGCAUGUGUGUGCUUGAGCAGUGAAAGGUAAAAGAGGACUGUAUGCCCGGAACAUUCAUUUUAGCCUUGCGCUGGAUGAGCCAUUGUUGAACAUUUCCAAAUCAGAAGGAAAUAGAAGGAAUCGCUCCUGACAGACAGACCUGUUUUGCUGUUUUUCAGUUGUUGGAGAAAGUAGAGUCUCGUAUGAUGUGCUAUGAGCUCCUGAAGAUGAAAACUGGGAAGUGAGACACUGCUAAGAGUUUAUGAUAUCACAGUACAGUGCAUUUGCAUCAAAAAGAAAAUGUUCAGGAAAGCUUUACAACUGAAAACAACGAUCUCAUUGAACAGUCAAGUAAUAGGCAGGUAACACCUUUCAGAAGUGAACCUAUCACAGUCACCAUAGAACAGUCUUCAUUUGAAGACUAUUAAACUCCAUUGAGCGAAGAAGUAAGUUUGGCAAAAAGGUGUAAAAAGACUUGGAUGUCUGUGGUUUACAGACCUGGCAAUGUGUACUCAUAUAACUAUGGUACUCCUCCAUAUACAGAAGGCCAAUAUGAAGCCAAGAAUUCCAAACUAAAAGGCAAAUGUUCAGAAAGCAUUUUGUUUUUCUUUAAUAAACUGGUUAGAAAUGUCAGUCUUCUUAGGACAUGCACAAUACGGAUAACUUUGAGGUCAGCCUUUUGUAAGGAGCAAUAUGAUUUGAACUUUAGAACAACACUGCAAUCAACAUCUUCACAAGGUAUUGCUUGUCAUUUUGAAGAAAAUUUUAAGGUGCUUUAAGGAAAUAAUUCUGUAGUGAGCCAAGAAAUAUGGGACCUUAUUUAAAAAAAAAUAGAGAAGCAUCCUGGCUCCACAACUGACGACAAAGUUUGAAAAUGUGACCUUCUCCUCCAUAACAGCCUAAAAUUCAAGAGCUAGAUGAGCACACCAUCACCCCACAUGCACAAGUACUGACUAACCAAAUUUUGGAUGUCUAACUGAAAUUUGGAUGUCUAGUUUAGGUUGUUCGGAUUUGGCUAUACCAAAACAGCAGAUAAAUUGCUUUUGUAGGUUUUGUAACUGAUAAAUACAUUUUAAUCCCCCUCCUCCCAAUUUCCAGACAUGAACAACAGAAACAAGUAGCAGACUAUUGCACAGAGCUUCUCUGACAGCUCAUAGACUGAAUUCUUGCCUAGUGAAGGGGGUCAAAACCUCAAAGCUUUCCUGAAAUUUUGAGGGGAAUGGAAGAGCACUAGCAUAAUUGUCUAGAAAAAUAAAGUUGGUAGAUCAUGCACAUUCAACUUGUUCAUCCCAGAAAUGCUGAAUGGGCCAAACUGCUGUAACCUCUGCUGGAAAUCCAGAUCCCAGAGAGCUUUAGAC